CCCGUAGAUGUUCUGGGCCGCACACGCGCUACACUGAAGGAGGCAGCGUGUACUCCUGGAUCGAAAGAUUUGGGUAACCCGCGAAUCUCCUUCGUGCUAGGGAUUGAGGUUUGCAAUUAUCCUUCAUGAACGAGGAAUUCCCAGUAAGUGCAAGUCAUAAGCUUGCGCUGACUACGUCCCUGCCCUUUGUACACACCGCCCGUCGCUACUACCGAUUGAAUGAUUUAGUGAGGACUUCGGACUGGGACCGAUGCGGCUUUCGGGCUGCGUCGGUAUUCUGGAAAGAUGUCCAAACUGUAUCAUUUAGAGGAAGUAAAAGUCGUAACA
rnacentral:rRNA from 1 species